rnacentral:lncRNA from 1 species
GUGAACGGGUGCUGUAUGUGGAGGAUGAGGGCUGCAGUAGAUAUCUCAGAUAGGGGGGAGUGAACGGGUGUUGUAUGUGGAGGAUGAGGGCUGCAGUAGAUAUCUCAGAUAGGGAGGAGUGAACGGGUGUUGUAUGUGGAGGAUGAGGGCUGCAGUAGAUAUCUCAGAUAGGGGGGAGUGAACGGGUGUUGUAUGUGGAGGAUGAGGGCUGCAGUAGAUAUCUCAGAUAGGGAGGAGUGAACGGGUGUUGUAUGUGGAGGAUGAGGGCUGCAGUAGAUAUCUCAGAUAGGGGGGAGUGAACGGGUGUUGUAUGUGGAGGAUGAGGGCUGCAGUAGAUAUCUCAGAUAGGGGGGAGUGAACGGGUGUUGUAUGUGGAGGAUGAGGGCUGCAGUAGAUAUCUCAGAUAGGG